AUGCAAUCACCCAGAUCUUGAUUUUCCCUUUUUUUUCAGAUUCUAUUUUAGUUGUAUGAUGGUUUUAAUUGGUUAUUUCAUACUGGUGAAUGUUCCUAAUAGAUCCCUUGUGUUUAAGAAAGAAUGAUGAGUUUGGAAUUCGGAAAUAAGAGUGUCAAUCAACGAUCUUGAUUCAAUUUUAUAUCAUUUACCCUCUUUAUUUUUUCAAGAAAAUGUGCAAAAAAAAUUGUAAUAAAGCAUAAAAAGAAUAAAGAUUGCGUAUAUAGGAAGCUAAGAUGAAUUCCUAAUUUACUCUUGCUUUUUUACUGUCGUAUUUUGGGAUAAGGGUUGUAUGUGAAAAGGUUGUCAUUUUCUAAUUGUCAGUAUUCUGUCUGGUUUUGAGAAAAAUGGAGUCUUGUGACAAAUUCAAGAAAAUGAAGCUGAUCUUGUCUUGAUGUUACAACAACUAAAUUACAGCUUCAGAUUCUUUUUCUUUUUGUUGGUGGUGGUGGUGGUGAAAUGAGUUACUAUGGUUUUGACAUGUGAAGACAGAUGCUCCAAUGAGGGGGGCUGAGAAGGUUGUCUGUGGUGAGCUUCAUGAGAGGUAGAGGUAGGUCGAAGAAGUAUUGGGGAAAGGUGAUUAGACAAGACAUGUCGCAUCUCCAGCUUCCUGAGGAGGCAGUUUAGGGUGGUAGGUUAGUGGGUAGUUGAGUGUCCAACGAGAUAGGCUUCUCCUUGUGUUUGCUAUAUCUCUACCAUUUCUGAGUUGCCAAGGGUAUGCAGUAUACUUUACUAUUUUGGGUAGAACUGCAUGCAAAUAUUGACCAAUUUGGAAUAUACCCUUAUAGCUCGUAAAUGGGAAAAUGAGAAAACUAUGUUUUAAAGGAGAUAGUUGUUAUGUUGAUCCAGCUGGCAGACCUCAAAUUUGUAGACAGUGGAGGAGAAAUUAAGGAAUGACAAAAAUAACUGAAAAGAGCUAAUCACGACCUUCUUUCUCAAUCAAUGGAACUUUGAGGAUUGGUCCAAUCAAUUUGCCCAAUAUGCUGACAAUGUCACCUAAGCACUCACCAAUGC